rnacentral:snoRNA from 1 species
GCAUCAUGAUGAUAAACCUUUUUUUCAGUUCUGCUACUGAAUCUAUUGAUGACAAACCCUAUACCAAAACAUUAUCUGAUCA